rnacentral:rRNA from 1 species
CUUGACAUCCAGAGAACUUUCCAGAGAUGGAUUGGUGCCUUCGGGAACUCUGAGACAGGUGCUGCAUGGCUGUCGUCAGCUCGUGUUGUGAAAUGUUGGGUUAAGUCCCGCAACGAGCGCAACCCUUAUCCUUUGUUGCCGGCGGUUAGGCCGGGAACUCAAAGGAGACUGCCAGUGAUAAACUGGAGGAAGGUGGGGAUGACGUCAAGUCAUCAUGGCCCUUACGAGUAGGGCUACACACGUGCUACAAUGGCGCAUACAAAGAGAAGCGACCUCGCGAGAGCAAGCGGACCUCAUAAAGUGCGUCGUAGUCCGGAUUGGAGUCUGCAACUCGACCCCAUGAAGUCGGAAUCGCUAGUAAUCGUGGAUCAGAAUGCCACGGUGAAUACGUUCCCGGGCCUUGUACACACCGCCCGUCACACCAUGGGAGUGGGUUGCAAAAGAAGUAGGUAGCUUAACCUUCGGGAGGGCGCUUACCACUUUGUGAUUCAUGACUGGGGUGAAGUCGUAACAAGGUAGGCGUAGUGCU